rnacentral:rRNA from 1 species
AUACGGAGGGUGCAAGCGUUAAUCGGAAUUACUGGGCGUAAAGCGCGCGUAGGCGGUUAUUUAAGUCAGAUGUGAAAUCCCUGGGCUCAACCUAGGAACUGCAUCUGAUACUGGGUAACUAGAGUUUUGGAGAGGUAAGUGGAAUUUCCGGUGUAGCGGUGAAAUGCAUAGAGAUCGGAAGGAACACCAGUGGCGAAGGCGACUUCCUGGGCCAAUACUGACGCUGAGGUGCGAAAGCGUGGGGAGCAAACAGGAUUAGAAACCCCAGUAGUCC